rnacentral:tRNA from 1 species
CGGGUGUAGCUCAAUGGCCAGAGCUCCGGCCUUCCAAGCCGGUGAUGCGGGUUCGAUUCCCGUCACCC